AUAUUCUCGUCUGGUUACUGAUAACUACUAAUAACCACUAUAGUAAUCCUUUCAAAGUAGAAGCGAGCGUGCAGGUAUAAAUUCCAUACUGCACGUUAUUCGACGAUCACCGAGGUGUUCUUCACUCUUCUUCUUUGAUCGAGCUUGCUGCUGCUGCCUAGCACCCAACGGGCAACCCAUUCGCCACCCAUCGAUAUAUAGUACACGCAUCGACGUCGACCACGUUACUCGAAGCGAUUUUGCGUCGAUCCUUCCUUCUCUUCUGUCUUCUCCUCUCUUUUCUCCCCACUUCCUGUCACUCUUCCUGUUAUAUAUCGUACAGAGAGAUGUUGUUACUUUUAAAGGCUGUAUAUUCAAUAUUAAAAAGUUUGGACAGUU